AUCAAAGGUUAAUUUAUUAUUGAAGAAAGAAAAAUGUCUCUAUCAAUGAAUAUAGCCUAAGGAUACGGGGUUUAUGAAGUCUACAGUAGUGUACAGCAGUGUCCUAGGCCUUCAUGUUCAUUCAUCAGUAGGUGCACUCACCAACGGACCCAGAGCAACUCCAGUCCUAUAAGCUGCAGUCAUAGUAAGUGCCCUACACAGGUGUACCAUUUUUAAUCCUUUUACCAUUUUUAUUGUACCUUUUCUGUUUAGAUGUGUUUAGAUACACAAAUACUUACUACUGUGUUCCAAUUGCCUAUAGUAUUCAGUACAGCAACAUGCUGAAUGGGUCUGUAGACUAGGAGCAAUGGGCUAUACUAUACAGCCUGGGUUUGUAGUAGGCUAUACCAUCUCAGUUUGUGUAAAUACAUUCUAUGAUGUUCACACAAUGUCAAAAUUGCUUAAUGAUGCAUUUCUCAGAACCCAUCUUCAUUGUUAAGUGACAUAUGACUGUAUAUUAUAAAGAGGCCAAACCCACGCCUGAUGUAUGUCAGCAUGCCUGAGUUACUUAACACAAGGUCUGAGACACAGAGGAUGCUUAUAAUACUGACUAAAUGACUAAUUAAAAAGUUAUUUCCACUAAAUUUUGAAUCAUAUUGUAUCCUUGUUUUGGCAGCAGAUUUACAUCCUUAAUUCUAUCUUGCUUAGCUAAAAUUAACAGGUUUACAUUUUUCAAGUAAACUCUAGAAAUUAGUUGCUUAGAUGCCUGCUAAGUGAUGGGAUCAAGGGAGGCUAAGCUCUAAAGUUUGUCAAGAAAAAGCUACAUGUGAAUAAUUAGGAGUUGCUAGUUAAGCACUCAAACUUUUUUUUUUUUUUUUUUUUUUUGGUGAUAAACUGUAGGAGUUUCUCGGGUCUAAAGGAAGACACAGGAUGUCUUCAGAGAUUGGAGCCACAUUUGGGCCAGGAGCAACUAUUUAAAGGACUCCGCGUCGCUAAAACAAUAAGAAUAGUAUAAAAAAGUACCCAUGUAUUUGGUUGUUUUCUGGACAGGUAAACCCAAGUCUUAAGUAAGGGCCAUGAGUACAGAUGACCACAGAAAAGUUUCCAAAGGAAACCCUGAGUGAGCAAGCUUGACUGUAGUCUACUAUAGACUUUAAAAAUAUCCAUUUGUAUUUUUAGGAGUUCUUACAAAUAUUAAUCCACCAUAAAAGUAAUAACAGCAAGGCCUUGAAAGUUAAUGAUAAUGAAAGGCAAUUUUUAAAUUUUUUUUUAGAGAAAGGGUCUCCCUUAUUGCCCAGGCUGGAAUGCAGUAGUAUGAUCAUAGCCCACUGUAACCUUGAAUUCCCAUGCUCAAGCAAUCCUCCCACCUCAGCCUACCGAGUAGCUGGGACCACAGGCACAUGCCACAAUGAUUGGCUAACUUAUUUUUAUUUUUCUGUAGAGACAGGGUCUCACUAUGUUGCCCAAGGUGGAAAGGCAAUAUUUUUUAAGGUACUAUGUGCUAGGCACUAUGUAAGCUUAAAUCUUGCUGAGCUUCAUAUCUUAGCUACAUCUCUUUUGAUCCUUACAACAAUCCUAUGAAGUGAGUAAUAUUAACAUCCCUAUUGACAGAAUGAGGCUAUGAGAAACUAAGUCACUCCAGUUCACAUGGUUAGUUACUGACACAGCCAGGGUUCGAAACCAGGCCAACUGAGUUUUAACCACUACUCCAAUUAGCUUUCUCUGGGCUUAUCAUGUCUCUCAUGUCAAAUAACGUGUUAUUCUGCCAGCCCACAAGAGUCUUGAGAGCUCAAAGGCCCAUCUCUGGGAGGAUACCGAUGGAAGUGUGUCAUGAGGAUCUUAUCACUCAUCUGAGCUCUGCAUGUCACUCAGGCUCCAUACUCGGCUUCCUCUGUUCUGAUGUACAGUGAUAACCCAGGGCAAGGGGUUUCCAGAAAGACAGCACAUACUCUGGCUCAGCAAGUUACUUAAUCUCACUCAACUGGCCCAGCAGCUGGAUUCACGCAAGUCAGGUGGCCUGGAACUGAUCCUCUCUGGUUGUAGAAUUAAAAAUCUGGCAAGGAUUGGAAAGAUAGUUUACUUAAUAGGGCCUCAAGUAUAGGAAAGCAAUUGAAGGGUGAUUGCAGUGAUAGAAUCACUUGAGAGAGGGAGGUAGGGAAACUGUAAGUUACUAUAAAGUUGUGACCUUAUUUUAAACUAGAAAACUUAGUGGUCUCUUAUGUCUUUUGACUUUCAAGCAUUCCUGUGAGAGGGCUGGCAUAAAUGAUUGUUAAUGCUGUUGAUGGGAAAUUUAAAGUAGGAGGAAUCUGCCUACUGGCUUUUAAGAAAAGGUGAUUUCCUGCAAGAUGACCUAAUUGGUUAGGAAACAGAUAAGUGAACCUUCUCUAUGUUCACUUUAAGAGGAAGUUCUAAAAAUUGAGGUGCUCACUCCCUCUCUCUCCUUUUUGAUGAUUGUGAUAUUUAGACCUGCCAAAGCAGUAUAACUUCAUUGUCUGGAAUUUGGUUAAUUCCAAUGCAAAUACAAAAAUCAAAUACGUGAACUGAGCUUUGAAAAUAUUUUCAUUUUUGAGGAUUUUCAUUGUUAUGGGAUUGAGCCUGUAGAAGUCUCUGUGUAAGCUACAUAGAGCAAAUCUAAUCUACUCACACUGAAGUCAGGGCUCUGUAAAAGACUGUGGGAACAUUCAUUCUCCACUCUCUCAGAGACUCUUUUAGGUAAGUCAAAGCAUGUUCUCUUUCUGUGAUUGCUAACCCAUCUGUAAAAUGUGAAUAAUAAUUCUGGCCUCCAGGCAACCAGAGGUUCUUGAUGACCCUUAGAUGAAGAUACUUGAUAUGUAUAAGUGACAGGAACAAUGAUGAUCAAACACUGAAGAUGAAAUUCUAGGGAGGAAAGAAGUUUAAUCAUUAUCUCCUGCAUUUUUUAUUCUGUUAACAAUGAGGCAAGAUAGUAAAUCUUAGUUGCAAAGUGGUUAAAACACAUGAUUUGGAUUCUGGAAUAUCUUUCAUGACUAUCUUUUGGAUCCAAUUCCUUACUCAUUUGGUGUGGGAGUUGGUUAUGAAGACGAAUUUCUCACAAGGCAAGGAGCUGUCUCUCUGCUCUGUAUACAUGGGGUGUAGCCCUCGUGCAAUCAGACUGGAGGAGGAUAACCAGGUUGCUAUGUAGCCUUGAUUUCCAAAAAGGUGAUGGGCUUCUGGUACCAACCCGUGUCAGUAUUUAGAAGAGGCCUGUUGGAAAGCUCUUAAUGAGAAAGCUCCUUCUCUGAAAACAUUUCAAUUUAUGACUCCUGUGCUAAGCAUUUCUAGGAGAUCAAACUGAAUCUCUAGUGCAUAACAGAAAAGCAUUUGCCCUGCAGCAAAAGGGUCAACUUUAAAAGAAUGCUUUUCCAUGUUAAAAAAAAAAAAGUCAAAAAAACAAAGCAAUGACUCCCAAAAUAGGAACAGAGGGGAAGGAAAAGUUCAUGGCCUUAGCGGACUGGAUAUUCUGGAUAUUUGGUCCCUCCAGUCCCUGCAGAUGAAAGCCCAUUUAUUUAGAGUAGAAAGAGGAAAUUUAAAAAAAUAAAGGAAUAACAAUACCUACAAAUGUUUUCAGGAUUGAAAUAAAUCCAGGGAAGAAGAUGGUAUGUUACCACUGGAACUGCAUUCUCGUUCAUAUCUCUUGUCCUCACGUCCUGAAGCACAUUCCAUGUAAUGCAUGAUAGCCUGUGGCCAGCUGCUGGCUAGAAAGCAGGACCCUGCAGUUCUAUUUCUGACUCCGUCUGGGCUUUUGAUGAGACCAGGUGGGAGAAGGAGAGUAGUGUAACAAAGAACCUCAGAGUAGGCCUUGGUAAUGAGCAGUUACCUAACCUCACUGAGCCUCAGUUUCCUCAUCCAUGACAAGAAGGGGUAAAUGACCUCAAUAGUUCCUGCCUUAUUAAAAAACUUUGAGUCUUUGGUAUUUUGAUGAUAUGAAUGAGUUCCUCAUCGAGAACCUCACUUGUUCCAGGAAGUUUGAGAAUGCACCACUCCAUGCGCUGUCUUUGAAUCGCUGUGCCCUACCCAGCACCCGUUUGUGCUUGAAAAGAGCACAGGCAUGGGUUCUUUUGCUGAUAGCAGAUUUCUCUCCAGACUAGAGAUUUUCUUAGUCUACCCUACUUAGUAAGACUUUAUGAUGGGUAAACCUGUGCUGACCAGUGGCCAAGUCCCAGCAAACACAACUUCAUAGUAACAAAGCUUAAAGACGGGAGUCUGAGUGCGAGACUAGGGAUCAGAAGGAUUCAAUUCAUUCAUUCAAUUCAUCAUCCAUUCAAUUCAGCUUCUCCUGUUUAAAACUAGGCCCCUGGCACUUGCUGAGCAUGGUUCUUUAUUGGACCAUCCAUUUGAACUGGGGAAGGGACUGAGAAUCUUGGUUACCUCUCUUGGCAGGUCAUCAGUUCUUGUUCCAUUCAAUGCAGAAUUUUAGCAACAAAAGGCGAAGAGGAUGAGUAAGUUAUUAAAGCUGGGAAACUGCCUAUAAUAGGUUAUUUUUAGAAUAAAGAUUCAAGAUGACCUACAAGCUCUGUGAGACCACAGGACAAAGGUGUCAAAGAAAAGAGACUGGGAUAGGCUCAGACAUUUAUCUUCCAGCAAAAUUAAUUUCCUUGAGGGCUUGUGGUUCACUAACUGAAUCUGUGAACCAGCUGUAUUUAGGGUGCAUUCUACUUCCUUGGGUCUCUAAAAUUGACAAUGGUCUAUAGGUCAGGUUCCAACGGAAGUGAUAUUUCUGACCUAGCUCUAUAAAUAGAGCACUGGAAAAAACCCAUCAGCUGCAAUGGCUCAGGGACCACACGCUAUCUAUUAAGUAAGCAACCGCAGUAUUUGUGCUACCAUUUUAGAUACGAAAAAAUAUAUCUUUUGUUAUUUAUAAUCUUCUGAGCUUUGAGAUUCUCAAAAUACUUUAAAGCUAUUAGUCGUCUUUCAGAUUUAUAAAUACAGGAUCUGAGGCAUAAAACUAUGUAAUAACUGCUUCAACUAAUACCAUUUACCCACCGAGGAAGGCAUUUGGCUGGUAAAGAAUGGGCUGCUUCACUUUAGUAAAGCAGAAAAUUUCAUUCCUGAUGUCUCUUGGCUGGAGGUGAAAGGAGUGAAUGCAGUCCAGAGGCUUUACUUGCACAACAUACCUAGGCUGAUGCAAGUCUCAGCAAACUCGUUACUGAGAAAGGUAAGAAAUGUGAAGCAGAAGACAGGAAGAAGUGAGGCAAUCAGAACCUCUGGAAUGCAAGAGUUAGGGAUGGAUCCUCCAUAGCACAAGGUAGGGGAGAAGCGGGGGUGAGCCAUCCACUAGGCUAGAGACUGGUAUGCACCAGCACAAAUCACUCAACAACUCCACUGGCUCAUGGACAGGGAGAAAAUACCUUCAGUUUCCCAGAGUCUUAACAAAAUACUUUAAGUUCUUAUCCAACCAGGACAUUUUUGAAAAUGAAAUGGGGACAUUUUAAUAGUUAUACUGGGAUAACAGAGAUAAACUGAGCUUGCCCUGAGAAAACCAAGACAUAUGUUAUCCUACAGAGAUACUAUGUAGGAACUGUCCAGAAUCACAGUGAGCAUGCUCACUUUAUACGAAAAGCUUCAGUCUGUACUAGGAUUCUCUGCUGUGUCUGCAGUGUCGAUCAUCAAGGUCUCAAAGAUGGCAAGGAAAACAAUAGUAGGCAUAAGAAGAACAGAACUAGAUUGUCUGAAUAAAAAGAAGCAAUCUCCUCCCAUCAGCUCAACUCCCAACAUUCUCCAGGAGGCCAUGCCCCUGAACCUUUUCUCCAAUACAGCUUUCCCCUUGCUACCUUCUACUUAAGGAAAGGAAAAAAAAAAUCCUGAAUGGUGACUUGUAGUGAAAUCUCUUGACCUUUGCAAAUAAGUUUUUAAUUAAAAAUAAAUUCACUCAUUACAGAAAACACAUAUUACCCUUAAGUAAAUACUAGCAAAAUAAAACAAAGAAAACAAAAACCUAACCAUUUAAAGAAAUCUGUGGCACUUUCUCUUUAAAUUUAGCUUCAUUCAAGACAAGCCAGAAAGAUGCUUGCAUAAAAUAUGUUUUUUUUCCCCCACAGUGUGUUCUAUCUGUUCACCAUGAAAUCCUCAGACCACACCUUUCAGCUGUCCUGGUAUGAGCUUUGCUUUCCUGCUCCCAUUGUAGAGUCAGAGGCAGCAGGCGGAUACCAGAGUUGAAUUCUAAUAAGUCUUGUGUAUUAUACAUGGUCACCAUCUCAUUUUUUGACCACUUGAUGUUUGUUUCAGAUGGCACUGGCUGAGGCAGAAUGAAUACAGCUGCUGAUUCUGAUCUCACACUGGGUAUAUCCCUGAGUGCUGGAAAAAACAUCACCCUCAGAAGUGUGCAUUCAGCCAGCUGCCUUUGGAGAGAGCUGGGAAGGGUGCAAAGUGGCAUGUCCUUUACCAGUCACUCUUUCUGGGCCAAUGCUUAUCCAGAAAUGAGACAGAACUAUGGGUUUACUGCAAAUGACCAGCAUCCGCAAAGUGAUCAAGACUACCAACUUUGGGUAAUGUGUCCCACAUCUCAGAUGUCAGUUGAUAUAAGACAUUACAGUAAAGAAUUAUGAGUGUUCACUCUGCAAUGAAAAAAUGAACCAGCAGAAGGUGAAUGUGAAAGACUAAGAAGAGCCCUGCAGAAAACCCGUUAGCCCAUGUUUUCAUCUGUAAUGUGGAUGUGGGAUAGGAAGAGGGACAACGACAUAGUACCGACCAGGUUCCAGAAACUAUUCCAAGUGCUUUACGUGAUAAAAAUCUCUUAAUUGUCUCAACGACCAUACGAAGUAUAUCUCUAGUGUUGCCCCUAUUUUAUAGAUGACAAAACCUUACUGAUAUCUGUAUAGCUAGUAAGUAGGAGAGACAGGAUUCAAUCUGUCAGCCCAACUCUGCCGGUGCCCGUGUCCCUGCUCUGUGAUCCUGACAGGCAGCCACAGCCAGGAGUCCGUCCUUGUUUUAGAUAUUUCCCAUGUCUGCUGCUCAACUAGACCCUAACGGUGGAUUCUUGGUACAUCCUUACCCAAGGAUAACCCAUAAGUUUUCAUGACAUUACCACGGACUCGUCUUGCUUGUGAAACCAAGUAAUAGUAAAAACAGAAGAAUCAUGUGUUAAAAAUUUUUUGAAGUAAAUGAUUCUGUCAUCAUUAUUCUUAAAGAAAGUGAUGUACCCAAGGUCACACACUUAGUCACUGGUCAGUCCUGGGGCAAACACCCCUUGAUGUCCAGCCCUUGAGUCAGGAUGAUUGCUUCAUCUAGAAGGCACCAUGGGCACUCUGCCUGAAUCCAGGAACCUCUGGAGUUGUAUAUGGCUCUGUCCAAGACAAAGGAAUCCGCUGUACCAGAUCCACAGAAGCCCUGGCUCUAAAUUAAAAACAGCACAACAACAACAUUGCAGCAACAACAAAAUAGUAAUACAAUAAAAGGUGGGAAGACCUCGAGAGCAUAAAAAUUUCCUUAAACUGAUCAUCAAGGAAAGGAAAGGGAGGAUUCCUUCUUUAAAGAGGCAAGUGCCUGCCAGCAGGAACCUAAAACUCAUUAUUAUUCUGUAUUUUCUUUUUUCAUGACUAAAAAGUUUUUCUAUCCUCCCCCUUCCUAUCCCUAUCAAAAGACUACCCCCUCCACAAGACAAUCACAAACUUUAAAAGUAGCAAGCCCUCACUUCAAACAAAAUGUAAAAAUAAAAAUUCAAAAACCCAUAGUGUUUGCAAAACAGCUUUGUAUGGAGGAAGGGCAAAUCUUAUCUUAAGAGAGGCUAAUUUCAUAGGAAUCGGGCAAAGAGAGGAGAGGUAGAAAGGGUGGGAGCACAGAAGAAGGGGAGGCGGGAGAGGAGGGGAUAAAGGAGGAAGAAUCGCUGGCUUUAAAAAGCAACAUUGUCCAGAGAGGUGAAAGGGAACAGAUGGCCGUGGAGAAUGUGGCCCUCAAAGCCUGAAGAAAGGGGGGGAUGCCGACAGAUCUUGCUGUUUCCCAUUGAUGCCUGAAUGUUCUGGUGCGGGGAGCCGAGGCCAGUGCAGGGGACGGACCUCUGUUCCCAGCAGCUCACUGGGGCACUGGCGCUGAGGCUCACUGAGAAAAAGAGCAGGCGGGGGUGAGGGGGGCUGGAGGCAGCUGUGGCUGCAGAGGGAAAGGACAGUGGGCAGCAUCGGAGACGUGCGGCUUCCACAGCCUUCUCUUUUGGCCCAGCCCAGGGAGGUCAGCCCAGUGCUGGUCUUUGCCCUGGCAGAGGUGAAGUAAAGGACAGGAGCCCGGGCCCAAAGCCUCAGCAUCCUUCCCCUCAAAACCCACUGGGGGAGCCCUGUCUGGGAUAAAGUAGAUACCUUGGGAGAGGGAAAUGAAGAAAAUAUUCCAAAUGCUUUCAGAGGAUUGAGACAUUCAAAUUAAAAUAAACAAGAAAUCUGGGUCUCUGAAAAAGGUCAGAGAAUCCUGCCAAGGAAACCUUAUAUUAUUUCAUGGAGUCUCAAGGCAGAGAAGUGAUUUGCUGAGAAAAACAAAAAUGAGUUGGUGGCAAACCCAGGAAGGAAUCCAAGAGUCAGUUUCAGAGGACUGAGUCAGCCCCCAAAGAGGUUCAGGAUUCAAGGUGGGCCUCCCUGGUCAUUGCUUGUAGCUGUGCCACACCGGAGGAUUGUUACUGGAGACUCACAAGUCAGUACAGGGCAGCACUAAUACAGGAACCUCUGGCCAGCUGGCGAGCCCGUCCUUCCUGGAGGGAAAAGCCCAGCAGCCCCUGCAGAUGGAGGCCUGAGAACUUGGGAAGGUGGGGAAGGGUUUGCGGAAGCAGCGAUUACAAAGAGGCUCAUAAACUUUAGGGGACAAAGAUGCAAUCACUGUAAUUUCCUUAACUUAACUUUGAUCAGAGAAAUUAUCAUUCCAAAUGACAUCUUGACCUCUCCCUACACCUGCAGAAGAUGUUGAUAAAAUUCAGCCCUGCUCCUGCCGACUAAAGAGGGAGCCACCUUCUGCCUGGCUCACUGUUCAGUCAGCCCACAGAGACUGCACAAGUUCAAAACAAAAUUCCCCCAGUUCUUCUCUUCCUCUGUCUUCUUCCCUGGCCCUAAAAAUGAGAAAGACCUGAAUUUGGGGCAGACGGUCUUUCAAACAGUGGGGCAGGAGUUUGCAGAAACAGAUCCCUCAUCAGAACAAUCUUUUGGAAACAUUCCCACACAUUUCAGGGCCCCAAAAACAUCACCCUCUGUGAGAGUAAAGGAAGUUAAAAGGGGGCCCUAAAUAUAUUUAGUGACCUGGCAAGUUCACCUUUACCUGGGGCUAGGCCUCCAUUGCCAUGUCAAAGAGCCACCAAGCCCCACGUUUUGCACUGUAGAUGCAUCUGAGUCACUGAGAAAAUUCCCAUGGAGCGGCUCAAUAAAAAAAGAUCAACCAUGAUAAAGACCUUGCCUUUUAUUUCCCUGCUUCAACCAAAUUGCUCCCCAGGCGCUUUAGAUUUAGAAGCUCUACUAAUCAACCUUAUAAACAGCAGCCCAGCCACUGCAUAGAAAUUACUUUGUAUAGCUCCUAAGCGAAAUUACCCCAGGGGAUAGAAGAUGCCCAAGGCUUUAACAAUCACACCAUAACACAGCCUCAGUAUGAGAAUAGAGGACAAGCACACUUUGACAUCCCAAUUGAAACUCCGGGCUGAAUCCGACAUAGAAGAAUGUAAUUACCUUUCCUAGUUUGACGGUGCACUGAAGAAACUGGAGAAGCGGAAUACCUAUUAGGUUCCCACUAAUCCUCCUCCUAAAUUCAAAGCAGGGCUAGUCCCUGGAAUUCAUUUCUGAGUAUCCUUACUCUCUGCUAUUGUUAAAUAGCUCAAUUGAUAAGUCCUUCCAGCUAAUAAUGUUUUCCACGGAGCUCACCCCCUCCUCUUUCCCAGCAGCUCAAAGCACUUUACAAAUAUCACCUCAUUAUUCUUUAUAACACUCAAGUGAGCCUGAUAGGUGGAAAGGUUAAUUAUCUUCUCCUUCCCAAUAGGGGAAAUAGACAAAGGAAGGAGAAGUGACUCGCUGAAGCCAGCAAAGCAGAGGCAGAACUGGAACUAAAACUCAGCCAUUCUCCUGACUCCAAACACACACAUGUCCUAUGUCAGCUUGUAAAGCUGUUCUGCUGACAGGGCAGGAUUUUCUCGGCGUGGGCUGUGUUGUAAUCAACAGGUCUGCAGAACUGGGGCACCAGGCUGGAGGGGAAAGGGCAUGAGUCGAAAUGGGGAGGCCCCACUCAAACAGCCUUCACUAGUAUGGACCAGUUUCUUUACCUCCGAAUCUCAGUGUCCUCCUCGGAAAAGGAGGUGUGUAGAUUAUAGGAUCUUUCAGGUUCCUCCCAGCUCUUAGGUAAUUGGUGAAGUGAGAGUUUCAAAAGAGGGUUCUAUUAUUCACCAGCCCCUUGUGAUCACGUGGGCCUCAUUCCUCUUGUAAGCCUGAAAUAGCAUCUUUGUUUAUAGAGUGCCCUAUGUCAUCCACUGUCCACCCAGUGGGGAUCAAAUCAUUCAGUUCAAAGUGGCAAAUGGGAGAGAGAGUCCUAUAGGGCAUCAAGGCCAAGCACUAAAGAGAUAUGGAGACAGGCAGGGAGCAGGAAGACAGAAGACUAGAAGGGUCAUAAAAGGAAGAAUUGGCAAACAACAUCUUGAGCUGUGCCUUGGUCCUCACCAGGGCACCCCCUACAUUCCAAGGAACCUAUGACAAGCCUUCCGAAGCAUAAGAAGAUUCCAAAAAAACAGGGUUUGCUUGGGUUUUUCUAAAUACAGGAUUUACUUGCCAACCCCAAAACCCAAGUGAACAAUGCCCCAAUGUACCCUGUAGUGGUGGUUUUCCAUUUAAACAGAAUUUGAUUUUAAUGAAAUAACAUUGAUGUACCUUCCUCAAGUUAAUUAAAACCAGAUUAUACAGGUGGUGCCAUAGUUUGUAAUUUGUAUUGCUUGAGCCAGAUAAACCUGAGCCUUUAGAAAACCUGUAGUAUUUCAUCUCUCUGAUUUUCUACACUUUCUCUUCCUAAAUGAUGCUUUGCUACUCCUCAUUUGCCAUAAAGUGAGUUGGAGAGAGAGGACAUUUAGUAAAACCAACAUUUAUUUGUAGGGGAAGCAGCCCCCGCAACCAGAAUAAUGACCUUGGAAAUGGUUUUGUGUGAUGGGGCGAUUGCAGUGACUGGAUAUAAAGGACUGACUGUGCAGCUGCCAGAAAGAAACACAUUUUUGUAAUAUCUGAGUUGUUUCUAUUGGCCUGGUCUGCCUUGCAUUCACCAUGGGAACUGAGUCAACAAGUUUGCUUGCUUUUCUUUCAUACAGAGCAUUUUUUUUCCACAUACAGGGUAAAAGGAAUAAAGAAUAGAUAUCCCCUGAAAGUCAAAGGCUUCAUGAUAAAAAAAAAAUGGGUAUAAUGUUAUUAUUUAUCUCCAAGUCCAGUUGUAAAGGCAACUGGUUGUAAGCUCUAUUCCAUCUGCUCUCUCUGAGGACCUCAGCCUGCCCUUGUGGAACCUUCUUUCUGGGAAGUUAAAGAAUUUCCAGGAUUAGCUCAAGUCCUGAGGCUGCCAACUGUGACAAUCUACAAAGGUCUCUUAGGUAAUAAUUCAGAUCCCAUUUCUGCUCAAGGCCAAGAUGGUCCCCAGCGAGUUGGAAAUAUUCUUGUUUCCUGGACCUAGACCAUAAAGUGAGUUGACCUUCCAACAUCUUGGAAGGGCAAGCUCAGCAUCUCCGCAUACUAAAGACUCAACAACUGAUAUAUAUGUGACAACACAAAUGAAACUGAAUUUAAAAAGCAGGGGUUAAGGGUCAUCAGAAACAAUGUGAAAAAGAAAUGCUACAUGAAAAGAAAGAAGAAAGGAAAGAAGAAAGAAAGAAAGAAAGAAAGAAAGAAAGAAAGAAAGAAAGAAAGACAAGUCUCAUAAAUUUAAUAAUUUAUCUCCCACCUAAUUCUGGAGGAAAGUAUCUUGUGAACAUAUCCUAAACUGAACUUUUGAAUUCUCCAAAAGAAAGCCAAGUUUCCAAUGCUGAUUAGAUAAAAUGCCAAAUUCCUUUCACCAUUGCAAUCCCAAGUUGGGAAAGAAUGAAUCAAUACUCUCAGCUUGUCAGGUGUCUUGGAGACAAGUACGUCUUUAGAUCCUACCAGGGACUGCAUUAGUGUAAUGAGGUCUAGAGGACACCCUAAUCCUUCCUCUGACGCUCUUUCUCUAUGUAUCUCAGUAGUGCAGACAUCUGAGUAGUUGGUGAAACACUAAAGUAAGCUUCUAACCCAGCUCUGUGACUAACUCAUUCUGUGACCUCCUUAAGCCUCAGUUUCCCCAACUGAAAAAUGAAGUAUGACCACAGGGCCUCUAAUAUCCCUUCCAACUCUUAAAUAUCCUACUAUUGUAUCUCUGCAUAGAUUUGCUCCAUCACUUUUCCCAGCCACAGUAUAUUCUCUACCUUUCAGUUUCAUUCAAUGCUGGUCUGUCUCCAAGGGUCCCAGACAGUCAGUGUCUGAGGAGUCUCAGGCUAUAAAUUCAAACCUUACUGACUAAUAGGAAUAUUUACUUCUCUCAUCCCUGCAGUGUAAACUCAAUGUCAGAACACUAGUGUUCCAGGUGACCUCACUCAGACAAAUCCAAUGGCAUAUGCCAAUAGAUACAAUCCUAAAUGGGUAAGGAUGAAGACCCCAAAUGUGAAUAUUUAGCAAGUAAACCAAAAUGAUAACAGGCUAAGCUCACAGUAUGAACAUCUAGGAAUAAAUGAAUAGCUUUUAAAAUAAAUGACCAGAACUUCGAGGCGUAGAUUUUUCCACUACUCAAGAUUUGCAAUCUAGUUAUGACCUAGCUCAGCAACUAUAUCCACAACAAUGGAUUUCCACAAUGUUAGUUGAGGAAAUUUUAGGAACAGUCAGCAACUCCAAAAAACUUUUCAUUCAAGGAUUCCAAAAUGUUAUGUAAGUAUUAUUUCUUAUGAUCCCAAACAGAUGUGGAGAUGAGGCUCUUCGUCUGAGAAAUAAGGAACAUUUUACAGACUUGUCUCAGAUUAUAGAGUAAGCCAAGAGUUGAACAGAGACUCUAACAAGCCAUUCUCAGAAUUAUUCAGUUCCUAAUCUGUUACAUAUUCGCAGAAUACCUAGGUUUAAAACAGUAGAGAGUGAUUUAGAAGAUUCAUUGAGAAACAAGAGGCCCAACUUGGUCUUGAUUACCAGAUUUCCCUAGCAAUCAGUGAUCCAUUUGUUCGCUACCUUUAUUUGGAAGUCUUUUGGAAGCCUGACUGAGACGGAUCAAAUCUACAUCGGACAAAAUGAUUAAUAUAAAUACUUAUGGGUACUUAAAAAAUAAUUUUCUACUUUUCUGUAUUACCUAUUAGUCAAUUCAGAAUAUAGCCUCAUUACAACGACCAACAUUUAGAACACAUUGGUAGAUCUGAUAUAUCAAACAACAAAGCAAAUCACAAAGUAGUAUGCACACUAUGGUCUAAUUUUGGAAAAAAAGUUAACAUAAGUAUAUACAUAGAAAAGUGGCUAGAAGGACAAACACUGACAUAUUAAUGUAGUAGGAUUAUAAUUUUUAUGUUUCUUCUUGGGAGCUAUCUAUAUUUUCUAUGGGUUAAUAAAACAGCAUGAAUAAACUUCAUAAACAUAACAUUGAGUAAAAGAAAAUAGUACCAAAGAGAACCUGCUAUAUGACUCCAUUUAUAUAAAGUUCAAAAACAGGCAAAACUAAUCCAUGGUUGUAGAAGUCCAGAUAGUAGUUAGUUACCUUUGGGAUGAGGGUGGAGGGGUGGGAUGGGGUCAUGACAGGAAGGAGGAGCUUCCAUGGGCGCUAUUAAUGUUAUGUUUCUUAAUCUGGGUGCUGGUUACAUGUGUGCUCAGUGAGAAAGUUCAUGGAGCUAUACACUACGAUGUACACACUUUUUUGUUUACAUAUUAUACUUCAUUUAAAAAGUUACUUAAAAAAACAAAACAACUGAAUCCAGAGGCUUCCUCACACAUAUUGUCAAGAAGUCUAGAAGAAGGACUCUUUUUGGGGACGGGGAGAGCCAUAUUUCCAUAGUUCCAUUUCUGAAUUCUGAAAUAUGGCUCCAUAAAAAUGGGAAGAGAAAUACAAAUUUACAUCAUUGAAGGCUCCCGACUUGUGAAUAACAACAUCGUUUGCCAUCUCCCUUGACAACAUGGUAUUAAUGGCGACUCUGAAAAUCCAAGUUUUCAUUCAACUUAGACUCACUAUAAGGGUUAAUCAUUCAGCCUGGACCAGAUGCAGCCACGCUGGGAGGUGCACUUCCCACAUCAGGGCUCCAUUCAUGAAAACAAGCUAAAAGUGGCUGAGGCUGCUAGAAAGGAAGCUCUGUGAGGGCAGGGACUUUGUAUCCUCACCGCCUGAUGUAAGACCUAGCAUAGAAUUGGGGUUCAGUAAGUAUUUUUGAAGUGAGUGAAUAUAUACAUUCACUUUCAAAAAGAAGUGUGUGUGUUCGGCUCAUGUAGAAAUUAUGAGGGACAGUAAAGGAGAGAGAAAAGGAUGAAAUAGAAUGAUAUAUACUUGAUUGGUGAUAUAUGUCUCUGAUUGUCCCUUCAGUGUUUCUCAACUAAAUCAGGCUAACUAAGGCAUGGGAAGAUUUAUGUUGCUGUAGAUGUUUAGGAAAACCAACUAGAAGAACAACACUGUCCAGGCUGAGUGUGGUGGCUCAUGCCUGUAAUCCCAGCACUUUGGGAGGCCAAGGUGGGUAGAU
rnacentral:lncRNA from 1 species